rnacentral:rRNA from 1 species
AUGCAGGGAGGUCCAGGCUACGGGUACGGCGGCUACGGCUACGGUGCCGGCUAUGACAUGACCGGGUACGGCAACGGCGGAGCAUACUACACCAACGACCGGUACCCCACGCCGGCACCGGCGCCGGCUGCCUAUGAGGACCCGCUCGCCGGUCGGAGGCAGCACGACUUCCCGGCGCCGCUCACCGGGCUCGAGUUCCAGCCGUCGGAUGCCUGCCCCAAUAACUACGUCAUCUUUGAUCAGACCUACGACCGGAGCAGGGUCAUGUACAACCCGUCGCUGCCCAACAACUUCGGUUCCUCCGGGGGCUAUGACCAGCACGGCAACAACGGCGGCUAUGAUCACAACUACAGCGGCGGCCACGACGGCGGUAAAUGCUCGACUGGGCAGAAGGAGGACAGCGACGAGAUCGACGCGCUGAUGAGCUCUGGGGACGGCGAGGAGGAGGACGACGUGCUGAGCACGGGUCGCACCUCAGGGUGCCGCGGCGACGGCUCCCCGGACUCCACGUGCUCCCCCGGGUACGUGGUGAGCGUCAGCCCGAGUGGCGGCGGAGGUGGCGAGAGGAAGAAAAACCGGAUGAAGAAGAUGAUGAAGACGCUCAAGGGGAUCAUCCCCGGCGGCGACCGGAUGGACACCCCCGCCGCCCUCGACGAGGCCGUCAAGUACCUCAAGUCGCUCAAGGUGGAGGCCAAGAAGCACGGGGUGCGCGGAUCAAGAAGCUAG